UCAGGCUCAUGGCUGGGUGUGAUGGCCCUGCCCAGUUUUGUGCUGGGCAAUGCAGUGCACAAGGGCAUGGUAAGGAAUGUACAUUUUUUCCACUCCAGAUGGCUCACUCAAAUUGAUCCUGCAGUCAUUCAGACUGGAAGUACAGUUCCUACCUCCUGAUGGUUACCAGCAGCCUGUUUGAACAGAGUUGAUGACUCCCAGCGGUGCUCUUGAUGGGCAAUGUCUCCAUCCUUUAACAUCAUCCUCACAGACAGGAAAUGGGGAUAAUGCUUGGAGCUGUCAAUGCAGGGACCAUUCACCAGUGCCUGGCAACCUUGCUGAAGUGACUGAAUUAUAUUCCCAUCAGCAGAAAGUAGGAAAUGAGGUACAGUGAUUUAAACAUGGGACUGGAGGAAUUUGACCUUCUUACCGCAAAAAGGAAUGAGCUUGUUAACACCCUGUUUUCUUGAUGAGACUUUGGGAAGCGUGGCAGGUGAGGAUGGAGAACCUGCAGAAAGGCCUGUGUGAAAGUGCCCAUGAGAAUAACCUGACAGCUGUGCUGGAGAUACACUGGGGCCAAAGAAGAACAUCUACUGCACUCCUGAGGCUUCUCUCAGAAGCUGGAUCUUGUAUUUCCAAAAGGUUACAAGCACACAGAGUGGGGUGGCUUUGCCCAGCAGCUCAGGCCAAUCCAGCUUGACAAUAACAAUGGAAAUCUGGUUUGGUUUUGAGCCUGGCUUUGAUGUGGGGCACUGGAAACCAUGAGAGUGCCAAGAAAACGUUGACUGCCUUGGAUGACAGCAAAUCUCACACAUCCUGACCAGGGAGGUGCCUCCCUCCCAGCAGCUGCAGGCUUUAGGAAAGAGAUUGUCCAGCAUUUCCAUUUGAGCCCUACUUAAAGCUGCAGAUCUAUCAGUGUGGUGUACAAACAUGACAGCUAAGCAAAGCCACAGGCCACCAACUGCUGAUGGUCCAAGACCUCCAUAUGAGGACAAACAUUCCCAGGUAAGGAUUGAGUGAGCUUCAGGAAUGGAGAACAACCCACCCAGGCUUGAAAGAAGAGACCAGAAAUUGGCAAUUCCCGUCACUGUGUGUUAGCUAAGGAAUAAACCUGCCCAGGUAACCAUCCAGACUUUCCCCUGGCAUCAUGGUGAGCACAUCCCAGAGAUGGUGGUGUGUGAGAGAAGAGAACAAACUUCCUCCUUCCCAGGCAAAACACUCUCCGAUCAGGUUCCAGGCUUCAGAGCUGAGCUAGCUGGUUGCCAAGGCACUCUGGAAAAUGUGGGUGGUGUCUGGGGAGUAAGGGACUGAGUUUGGUGGGAGAGGGACUGAGGGAUAAAGAAAAGGACUUGAUUUUUAGGGAUGGGAGUAAACAUAGCAGGAUUUUGACAGCAGGCUUCAGCUCUUGCCUCAGCAAA